rnacentral:rRNA from 1 species
GACGAACGCUGGCGGCGUGCCUAACACAUGCAAGUCGAACGAGGUCCAUGCAGUGGCAACACUGCGGAAGACCUAGUGGCGAACGGGUGAGUAACACGUGAGGAACCUGCCCCGAAGACCGGGAUAACCCUCCGAAAGGAGAGCUAAUACCGGAUAUCCCCAUCGGAUUGCAUGAUCUGAUGAGGAAAUGGAUUCCGCUUCGGGAGGGCCUCGCGGCCUAUCAGCUUGUUGGCGGGGUAACGGCCACCAAGGCAUCGACGGGUAGCUGGUCUGAGAGGACGAUCAGCCACACUGGGACUGAGACACGGCCCAGACUCCUACGGGAGGCAGCAGUGGGGAAUCUUGCGCAAUGGGCGAAAGCCUGACGCAGCAACGCCGCGUGGGGGAUGAAGGCUCUCGGGUUGUAAACCCCUUUCAGCAGGGACGAAUCAAGACGGUACCUGCAGAAGAAGCCCCGGCUAAACUACGUGCCAGCAGCCGCGGU